rnacentral:tRNA from 1 species
GGUUUCGUAGUUUAAAAGAAAACGGGGAAUUGCAAGUUCUUAAAUGUGUUUUAAUCAACGCCGAGAUCU